UACGUAGGGGGCGAACGUUGUCCGGAUUUAUUGGGCGUAAAGAGCUCGUAGGCGGCUCAGCAAGUCGGCCGUGAAAGUCCGGGGCUCAACCCCGGGAUGCCGGUCGAUACUGCUGUGGCUAGGGUCCGGUAGAGGGGAGUGGAAUUCUCGGUGUAGUGGUGAAAUGCGUAGAUAUCGAGAGGAACACCAGUGGCGAAGGCGGCUCACUGGGCACCACCUGACGCUGAGGCGGCGAAAGCGUGGGGAGCGAACCGG
rnacentral:rRNA from 1 species